AGACCAUGAGGGAACAGUCAGGGUUUUUCCACUGGGAAAGGAAAACAGAAGAUGGACCUGAUAAGCAUCUUGAAGCUGUCUUCUUCCUGAGGGCCAGUUAAGGACUCAAUUGCUGAGCAGACCUGCUAGACCUCACUUCAAAAGGCCCUCUGAAUCUCAACCACAUCCUCCAUCCAGCCCCAGAGUUAGAUCGUCCACCUGCAGCCCUUGCCGUAGCGUCAACUUGCUCCUCAUGGCAGCGGCCCCAUGGGAGACCUGCUGGCUGUAAACAUCCAGCUAUUUUCUAUAUCCUACACUGGGAGCAUGUGAAAAUAUCUGGAUACAUUUAUGCCAGUUCUGGAGGCUGACAAGUCCAAGAGCAUGGCACCAACAUCUGAUGAAGGUCAUCCCAUGGCAGAAGGACAGAAGGCUGAAGCAAACAUGUGAGACAGAGAGAAGAAAUCAGGUAAAACUCACUUUUAUUACAAAUUCAGUCUCGUGAUAACUAACCCACUUCUGCAAUAAGGGCGUGAAUCCAUUCAUGAUGGAUCUGCCAUCACCUAAUCAUCUCUUAAAGGCCCCACAUCAAUUAAAAGUCAACAUGAGUUUGGGAGCAGACAAACAUUUAAACCACAACAGUGGUGUCCCAGAAUUCCAAAGACCAAAUUUGGAAUAAUUCCACUUUGUUUUUUAUUUUCCCCCUAAACCUGUUGGAAAAUGUCCCCAGAUUCCACACUUAAGAUAAUAGGGCGCGUGGUGUGGAGGGGGGGCAGACUUAUCUAUGGACUCUUCCACUUCCUUCGUGGCCUCUUAACCCUUUCUUUUUUUCUCUCUCUCACCUCUCAGAAUGCUACAGUUUUGUUUCUGGAUAGUGUACCCUUCACUUACAUCAUCUCGAGUUCUCCAAAACUAGUAAAACUCUAGAAUGCCAACUGGCCAGGCUCCGGGCUUGCCUUCAAUCUCUUUCUCUCUCUCUCUCUCUGUCUCUCUUUCUCUCUCUCCUGCAGCUUCACUGCAGUACAAUUUACACACCAUAAAAUUCACCCAUUUAAAAUGUACAGUUCAAUGACUUUUUAGUAAAUUUGGUUGUGUAACUAUCACUGUACUUUUGGUUUUUAAACAUUUUCAUUAUCCCAAUAAGAUCAUUCAUGCCCAUGUACAGUUAAUCCACUUUCCUACCUCCAGACCCAGGCAACCACUCAUCUACUUUUGUCUCUUCGUAUUUGCCUAUUGUGGACAUUUUCUGUCAAUGGAGUCAUAUAAUCUAUGUCGCUUUGUGUCUCACUGAUUUUACUUAGCAUACUGUUUUUGAGGUUCAUCUACAU